rnacentral:rRNA from 1 species
UACGAAGGGGGGCUAGCGUUGCUCGGAAUCACUGGGCGUAAAGCGCACGUAGGCGGCUUCUUAAGUCAGGGGUGAAAUCCUGGAGCUCAACUCCAGAACUGCCUUUGAUACUGAGAAGCUUGAGUUCCGGGAGAGGUGAGUGGAACUGCGAGUGUAGAGGUGAAAUUCGUAGAUAUUCGCAAGAACACCAGUGGCGAAGGCGGCUCACUGGCCCGAUACUGACGCUGAGGUGCGAAAGCGUGGGGAGCAAACAGG